rnacentral:rRNA from 1 species
GACGAACGCUGGCGGCGUGCCUAAUACAUGCAAGUCGAACGCAGUGGGGACGGGUGAGUAACAAGUGGGUAACCUCCCAUCAGAGGGGAUAACACUUGGAAACUGGUGCUAAACCGAUACUGAUGGAUGGACACGCGGUGCAUUAGCUAGUUGGUGAGGUAACGGCUCACCAAGGCCACGAUGCAUAGCCGACCUGCGAGGUUGAUCGGCCACACUGGGACGGAGCCACGGCCCAGACUCCUACGGGAGGCAGCAGUAGGGAAUCUUCGGCAAUGGACGAAAGUCUGACCUGGCAAAGCCGCGUGAAUGAAGAUGGUGUUCGGAUCGUAAAGCUCUUUUGUUAGAGAAGCGGUAUCUAACCAGAAAGCCACGGCUAACUACGUGCCAGCAGCCGCGGUAAUAC